UACCUGUGUGACUGCGUACCUUUUGUAUAAUGGGUCAGCGACUUAUAUUCUGUAGCAAGGUUAACCGUAUAGGGGAGCCGUAGGGAAACCGAGUCUUAACCGGGCGUUAAGUUGCAGGGUAUAGACCCGAAACCCGGUGAUCUAGCCAUGGGCAGGUUGAAGGUUGGGUAACACUAACUGGAGGACCGAACCGACUAAUGUUGAAAAAUUAGCGGAUGACCUGUGGCUGGGGGUGAAAGGCCAAUCAAACCGGGAGAUAGCUGGUUCUCCCCGAAAGCUAUUUAGGUAGCGCCUCGUGAAUUCAUCUCCGGGGGUAGAGCACUGUUUCGGCUAGGGGGCCAUCCCGGCUUACCAACCCGAUGCAAACUGCGAAUACCGGAGAAUGUUAUCACGGGAGACACACGGCGGGUGCUAACGUCCGUCGUGAAGAGGGAAACAACCCAGACCGCCAGCUAAGGUCCCAAAGUCAUGGUUAAGUGGGAAACGAUGUGGGAAGGCCCAGACAGCCAGGAUGUUGGCUUAGAAGCAGCCAUCAUUUAAAGAAAGCGUAAUAGCUCACUGGUCGAGUCGGCCUGCGCGGAAGAUGUAACGGGGCUAAACCAUGCACCGAAGCUGCGGCAGCGACACUCAGGUGUUGUUGGGUAGGGGAGCGUUCUGUAAGCCUGUGAAGGUGGCCUGUGAGGGUUGCUGGAGGUAUCAGAAGUGCGAAUGCUGACAUAAGUAACGAUAAAGCGGGUGAAAAGCCCGCUCGCCGGAAGA
rnacentral:rRNA from 1 species